rnacentral:rRNA from 1 species
GGGGAACCUACCUUCUAGCGGGGGAUAACACACCCAAAUGUGUGCUAAUACCGCAUAAUAGUAUUUGAUGCAUAUCAGAUAUUUGAAAGGCGCAAUUGCGUCACUAGAAGAUGGCCCCGCGGUGCAUUAGCUAGUUGGUGAGGUAAUGGCUCACCAAGGCAAUGAUGCAUAGCCGACCUGAGAGGGUGAUCGGCCACACUGGGACUGAGACACGGCCCAGACUCCUACGGGAGGCAGCAGUAGGGAAUCUUCGGCAAUGGACGCAAGUCUGACCGAGCAACGCCGCGUGAGUGAAGAAGGUUUUCGGAUCGUAAAACUCUGUUGUAAGAGAAGAACGUUGAUGAGAGUGGAAAGUUCAUCAAGUGACGGUAUCUUACCAGAAAGCCACGGCUAACUACGUGCCAGCAGCCGCGGUAAUACGUAGGUGGCAAGCGUUGUCCGGAUUUAUUGGGCGUAGAGCGAGCGCAGGCGGUUGAUUAAGUCUGAUGUGAAAGCCCCCGGCUCAACCGGGGAGGGUCAUUGGAAACUGGUCAACUUGAGUGCAGAAGAGGAGAGUGGAAUUCCAUGUGUAGCGGUGAAAUGCGUAGAUAUAUGGAGGAACACCAGUGGCGAAGGCGGCUCUCUGGUCUGUAACUGACGCUGAGGCUCGAAAGCGUGGGGAGCGAACAGGAUUAGAUACCCUGGUAGUCC